UUAAAUUAAGAAAUCCAUUAAAUAAUUAUUUUCUUUUUUUAUUUCUCUCCAAAGAUAAAUAAGAGUUUCAUCGAUAAAGCAAAGAUUAAAGUCCAAUACAAUUAAUUUGAGUUCAAUACAUGUAAAGGUCAUGGCCUGAAGCAGAGUUCUAACAUUACCUGGAACUAACCCAUCCUAAACAUGAGACCAAAGCCCGCAAACACCAAAACCCUAAAAGGAAAGGAUCCAUGCCCGAAUCCCUUUACCUGACUAUAGGAAUUUGUUGCGCUGCAGAUCGAAGGCAGAGAAAACUCAUUGCUUUGUUGAUUGUUUGGCUAGACAAACACCAACCUAGGGGAGACUCAUCUGACUAAAGCUAGAUGAGAAAAGUCAGCUGAAAAGCCUGAUGAAAGAGGUCUCCCAAAAACAGCACCCCCCGAAAAAAACCAACUCAAGAAACGCAGCACAAAUCAAACAGAACUAGUAGAAACACUGAGGGGGCAAAGCUUUGGCCACUAUUCUCUCAACUUUGAAGGGCUGGUAGGGCCCGAAAGCAGCGCCGUAAUGUCCCCAAGUUACCCAGUCCCUGUGGAGGUCGAAAAGCACCAUUAAAGCGCACAAAGCAGGACCAAGAAGAACCCUUGCCGUUGAAGCUCAGAACUUGCAAACAACCCAACAAAAAUAUGUACAAAACCCACUCGGAGGUGGGGAGGGGAAACCCACGUGCAGGAUCCCCCGCCCGGAAGGGGUAGGGGACAAUGCGAACACCAACAGACGAACGACGUAAAGUCUCGGAGAGAGAACUUUCUCUCGCUAACAAACUAGAGAGAUAGUCAAUAUCUUUUUUUUAAUAUUAAAUAAUUAUUUUCAUUCUUUUCUUAAGUUGAUGAGAACAUAACCUAUGUAUUACGUAAUUAUUACCACAAAAUCAUGUAAAUUUUAUGCAAAUGAGAAUUAAAUUCAUG
rnacentral:misc_RNA from 1 species